GAUUACAGCUCACUGCAACCUCCACCUCCCGGGUUCAAGCGAUUCCCCUGCCUCAGCCUCCGGAAGUACCUGGGAUUACAGGUGCCUCUGACUCAUGACUUCCUCUCUCAUAAGUGUUCCUCGAAGUUUCCUCCCUACACGUUUACUUGCCUCCAUGUCGUCUCUCCAAAACCAGAAUCUUCACAGGGUCAGGAAGAAAGCACUCAACACAAUAUCCAACAUUUUGUAUAGAUCCAAUCAUCAUUUGUUGACUAACCUCUGCUUGCUAACUGUUCACUACGGCUUUGUCUGGCUUCAUACAUCCUCUGAAUGCCUUGGCCUCCCUUGGGAUACCUCAUGAUGGGGCCAAAGCAUCAGGACAAAAGAGCAGAGCAGAAAACAUGCAAAGAAGACACUUCCCACCACACUCCACGGCUUCCUAUUCUCAAGGCCAGUGGCACUUCAGCAAGCUGCUUCCCUUUAACUCUGUCCAGCUGGAGCCCUCUUCUCAGCCGCCCAGGGCUGGUAGCGAAGGCCCAUUCGCAGUUGAUUAAGGAGUAAUUAGCAAGCCCAGUCAGGAUCAUUAGCAUUUCUAUGUUCCCACUUGUAAAUAAUAACUGGUUUGAGUGAGGUGAUUAAAAAAAAAAGAACAGCUGGUGGGAGAUUUUAGAAAUUUACCUACAGGUCCAGCUGAAGUGCCCACUGGGAACCCUUGGGAGCCUCAGUAGUCCAAACACCAGACAGAUGCCCUCUCCCUGCCCCAAAACUAUCCUUAGAGGGAACAAUUGCAGGGACAUCUACACCCUCCCUAUAGCACGAAAGUACAAAUGUCUCCUCUCCUAGUAAGAGAGGGCAUGGUCAUAAUAGAGAGGGGAAAAAAAAAAAAGAAAAGAAAAGAAAAGAAAGAAAAAACCCAGAUUUUGGAGUUAGGCAGACAUGACUUGAAAACUCAGCUUCUACACUUACUAGUUUGGUGACCUUGGGCAAGUAUCAGCUUCUUUAUCAGAAACAUACUCUUUGUCCUUAUGGAUGGAGUCUUUCUUUCUUUCUUUUUUGUAAACAAAUCAAGACGGUAUUCAACAGUAAACAGAUGAGUAGUUUGUUCAAGGAAAAGACAGGAGAGAUGAGCAGGUGGAGCCCAUGGAAUCUUUAGGGCAGUAACACAGUAAUCUAUAUGAUACUGUAAUGGCCAAUACACAACAUCAUGCAUUUGUCAAAACCCAUAGAAUAUAUCCAAAAGAGAGUAAAUCAUUUUACCAAAAAGACACAUGUAUGUUUAUCACAGCACUAUUCACAAUAGCAAAGAUAUAGAAUCAACCCAGGUACCUACCAAUGGUGAAUUGGAUAAAGAAAAUAUGGUACAUGUAUACCAUGGAAUACCACACAGUCACCAGAAAAAAGAAUGAAAUAAUGUCCUUUGCAGCAAUAUGGAUGUAGCUGGAGGCCAUUAUCCUAAGUGAAUUAACACUGGAACAGAAAACCAAAUAUCGCAUGUUCUCACUUAUAAGUGGGAGCUAAAUAUUGGGUCCUCAUAAAGAAGGCAACAAUGAGGCUGGGCACGGUGGCUCACGCCUGUAAUCCCAGCACUU
rnacentral:lncRNA from 10 species